ACGUGAAUAAAAAUGUAUGACGUCACACUUUACUUUGUUGUUGUUUUGAUCUAGCAAUGGCUUCCUGAUAUUCUUUAAAAUACAUCUUUUAUUGCAUAAAGGUAAACGCAUUAUGUUAACUUGAUCAUUUAUUCGAAUCUUCUGAUGUCUGAUAAUAAAUAUUUUGCAUUGCAAAUUGGUUGUCAAAUUGUAAAACAAAAGUAUUAGAACAGCUGAUUCACCUGAAGAUGUCAGUGCCAGUGCCAGUGGCACCCACACCAAUUUGUUGAAGUUUGUGAUUUAUAAGAACAUUAUGCCAGUUAAAUCAGGUUGGAAACAAACCGUUUAUCUGACGAGAUAAUCCUUCUGUCAUGUCUGUAGAGGGAUAAAAUUAUCCUUCUAUAGAGGGAUAUUUUUCUUUAGACUGGAUUAAAAGCAAAACAACAGGGCAAAAUGGCAUUUUCUACUUAUUAUGGCAGUAUGGUGGACCAAUUGAUGUACUUUAUUUAAUAUGCACAUGACCAGUUUACUGCUAAGCUGACUAAAUAUACAAUCUAUUGAUCAUCAUGAUAAGUACUUGCUAAUGCUCAUACAUACAUACUUAAUCAUGAAGAAAGAGAUUAUCAUUCUCUUACAUGUACAUAUAUAUUUAACAUGAAAUUUAAAGGUCAAUUGUCCCUUUUGUUGUUGAUCAAGUGUUCUGAGAUAGGUAACGUAUACAAUAGAUGCAAAGUUCUGUCACUUUAGCAGAAAACUGGGAAUCCAAUUUUUAGUAAAGUGCAGUAAUUGAUGCAUAUAUUAAAUGCUAUAGAUUAUAGCAAAUAUAACUAGAAAAUGUCAUUUUGACAUUUUCCUCUUUUUAAUCCAGUCUAAACAUAAAUAUCCAUCUAUAGAAGGUUUCAGUGGCGGAUCCAGAAAUUUUCAUAAGUGGGGGUCCACUGAAUCUGGGUCCGUUCGCCCUGAUUCACAUUUGCCCUAGUACCUGUUCGCCCUGAUACCUGUUGGCCCAGGGUCCAUUCACCCUGAUUUUAUUUUUUUCCAAUUGUUGUUGGUUCGCAUUAUUUUAAGUAUUUGAACAAAAUAUGUUAAAGUUUGUGAAAAAAUUGACAGAAUAUUUAUAUUGCUGCAAUCAAUUUAUCAUUUUCCCUUUGAUUUGCAGAGUAGUAUACUGGAAUACAAUGUAUUUAUCUUUAUUGAUAUUUGUUAACAAAAUAAUUGUAUUCAGUCAAUCACGAAUGUAUGCAGUAUAACUGAGACUAGUCUCAGAACAUAAUAAUAAAUGAACUUGUAAAUCCGUUUCAUGAGUUCGUACAAUGUACAUCAUUGUUUUUAUUAAUUUCAAGCUAAAUAUUUUAUCAAAACAAAACGUUUGUUUUUAUUAUUAAUCCAUCAAAAGACAACAGUUAGCCACUAGUCCGAUGCCCCAGACUAGUAAAAUUUCAUUUGGACUUGUAAGUUUUUGUAAAACUUUGUUUGGACCAAUAAGAAAAAUGUCUGAAUAUUGGUCUUUGGACUAGUAGUUAAAAAAGUUUUUGGUGCAGACUGAGACAAGUAUCACAAUAAUCAGUGAUCCAAAUUAUUUAGUCAUUGAACAAUUAAUGAUCUUAAACAAGCCAUAAACUUUUAGCUAUUUCUAUAAAUUUCAAGAAUAUGAACCAUAGAAAUAUCUGAAUAAGUUUAUUCAACUUCAAUACCCUGAAUAUUAAUAUUUUUUUAGUAGGGCGAACGAACUCAGGGCGAAUGGACCCAGGGGCGAAUAUGUAUUAGGGCGAACAGACCCGAUACCGGGCCCACUGGCUGCCUAAGAGGGGGCCCCAUCUCGUCACACUUCAGUGAUUCCCUAUAUAAGCAACCAAAUUUUUUUUUCAAAAGGGGGGCCAGGGCCCCCUGCUGCCCCUAAAUCCGCCUCUGCGUUUAUCCCUUUAUACAAAUAUAAACACCAAAUAGAAGAUUUGUUGCUCAACAAAUGGAUUUUGGUACAGCUUUGAAGCUGUCUUUUAAAAAAAACACUCCUUUUCAUAUACUUUAAAUUCACAGCAGAUAUUGUGCGCAAUGAUAAAAACAUCACAAUAAUUUCUAAAUUUACACAGGGUUCUCGCUAAGGAUUUUUUAAGGCGAGUCCAGGGACUCAUCAUUUUUGGCCAUGGUGAGUCCAACAGCAAGAAGAAGAUAUUAUAUUUGCAAUAAAAUGUAAUAAUUUAGUCUCCAUGGCCUAACAGAGCAAUGAAAUGACAUUAAAUAAAGAUUGCUUUUAAACUUUUGCUAUAAAAUGAUGAUCAUUUAUGUUUAACUGUGUUCAGUUUAUACAAAAUAUUUUAAGCUUAGUGCAUCUGUGGACUCACCAGUUUUGAAAAUGGUGAGUCCAGACAGAUUUUGAAGAGUCCAGGACUCAUGGACUCGCCUUAGCGAGAACCCUGUUACAGUAUUGAAUAAUUUUGAAACCCAUAUCUUUAGUUCUAUACAUAUAUUUCGCAGCGAAACAAUAACCCAUUCAUAUAUUUAUCAGCUCAAACAGUACCUAUAAGCAAAAGGUUCAAUAUGGGACUUUUUUUUUUUACUAUACUCAAGUUGGUAAAGAUUAUUAAUUGUGACAGUGUAAUAAAAUUUGGUCCAUAACAAAACUUGUGUCAAUAAUUUUCAGCUAAUGUUGAAAUUUUAACAUUAUAUAGGUAAAUUUCACCAGGUUUUUUUUUACCGUUUGUUCCCAACCUGUUCAUUAAUAUUGGCACAUCUUAUUUCCAUUAUCCAGGCGGAGGGUUCCAGGUUUGGACCCCCUUUUAUUUUAACCAUCAAUGCAUUUAUGGGAACAUAUAUUUAAAAUCAUUUCAACUCUAGCAACAUCUAUCUGUAUUCUCUAUAGAUGUAUGUCUCUUCGGUUACCUCUUUACCUUGAUAUUCCAAAAUUGACUUGCAUGAGUAUCACUGUAACACACUAUCUGAUUAAAAUACAGAUCAUGGGUACACACUUUGCUUGGAAGUCUUUAAAAGAAGAGUUGGACACAGAGUCUGUAUUUUAGUUUUUUGUAUGGCUGAACAACAGCUUAUUUGCAUGACAUGAUUUCUUGUACACUAUUAGCAUGAUUAGUGAAAGGUUAUAAUGUUUAUGCCCCACCUACAAUAGUAGAGGAACAUUAUGUUUUCUGGUCUGUGGGUCCAUUAAUCCGUUCUUUCGUCUGUCCGUCAGUCCAUCUGUCCCGCUGUCCCGCUUCAGGUUAAAGUUGUUGGUCAAGGUAGUUUUUGAUGAAGUUGAAGCCCAAUUGACUUGAAACUGAGUGUACAUGUUCCCUUUGAUAUGAUCUUUCUAAUUUGAAUGCAAAAUAAGAUUUUAACCCCAAUUUCACAGUCCACUGAACAUAGAAAAUAAUAGUGUGAGUUCCAAUCAACUUGAAACUUGUUCCCAAUGAUAUGAUCUUUCAAAUAUAAUUGCCAAAUUAGAUUUUUGGCACCAAUUUCACGGUCCACUGAACAUAGAAAAUGAUAGUGUGAGUGGGACGUCUGUGAACUAUGGACACAUUCUUGUUCAGUUGUCAGUCUAAAAUGGUUACUUACUAAACAAAUUAUGAACUACUGGUUGUAGAAAUUAAUAUUAAAUCAUAACUUUUUAGGAUGUGGAGAAAUAUUUGUAGAAUACCAUUUUUAAAGUACAAAAAAAAGAAGUAAAUGAAUAGUUUUAAAAGCCUACAUCUUGAUGUUUUUUUUUUGUCUUUUAGUUGACCAGACUUACAAUGGGAGGAGCUGUGAGCCGUGGAGAGGAUAAUGAUGAAUUGAUUGACAACUUGGUAGAAGCAGAUUAUAUAAAGACACCAUUAGUGGAGAGAGUGUUCCGUGCAGUAGAUAGAGCACACUAUUACACUGAAGAUCACAAAGGCAGUGCUUACAAAGACUUGGCAUGGAAGUUUGGCCAUUUACAUAUGUCUGCUCCGUGUAUCUAUUCAGAAGUGAUGGAGUCAUUGUCAUUAGAACCAGGGCUAUCUUUUCUCAAUCUUGGAAGUGGGACUGGUUAAGAGUUUUUAAAUUUCACUGGCAGUAUGUUGACUGA
rnacentral:lncRNA from 1 species